UACGGGGGGGGCAAGCGUUGUUCGGAAUUACUGGGCGUAAAGGGCUCGUAGGUGGCCAACUAAGUCGGACGUGAAAUCCCUCAGCUUAACUGGGGAACUGCGUCCGAUACUGGAUGGCUUGAGUUUGGGAGAGGGAUGCGGAAUUCCUGGUGUAGCGGUGAAAUGCGCAGAUAUCAGGAAGAACACCCGUGGCUAAGGCGGCUCUCUAGUACGGUACUGACGCUGAGACGCGAAAGCGUGGGGAGCGAACAGG
rnacentral:rRNA from 1 species